GCAUGUGGUUUAAUUCGAAGCAACGCGAAGAACCUUACCUAAGCUUGACAUCCCAAUGACAUCUCCUUAAUCGGAGAGUUCCCUUCGGGGACAUUGGUGACAGGUGGUGCAUGGUUGUCGUCAGCUCGUGUCGUGAGAUGUUGGGUUAAGUCCCGCAACGAGCGCAACCCUUGUCUUUAGUUGCCAUCAUUAAGUUGGGCACUCUAGAGAGACUGCCAGGGAUAACCUGGAGGAAGGUGGGGAUGACGUCAAAUCAUCAUGCCCCUUAGGCUUAGGGCUACACACGUGCUACAAUGGGUAGUACAGAGGGUUGCCAAGCCGUAAGGCGGAGCUAAUCCCUUAAAGCUACUCUCAGUUCGGAUUGUAGGCUGAAACUCGCCUACAUGAAGCUGGAGUUACUAGUAAUCGCAGAUCAGAAUGCUGCGGUGAAUGCGUUCCCGGGUCUUGUACACACCGCCCGUCACACCACGGGAGUUGGAG
rnacentral:rRNA from 1 species